UAUUAGAACUAGACUACUAUACUAUCGGUACCAAGUUGUUUUCGAUUAUACGGCUUCCAAAUAGACGAUCGGCUCCGUUAGUCUUGAUCUACACUAUUAAAAGUAUUUAGAAACUAAAGUUCAUAAUUUUUCGAUAUCAUUUACCUAUCAAACAAGUAAUCUAAAAUUAAACGGCUGAGAAUAAAAAUAUCAUAAAAAAUGAUGAUAAAAGAUUUAAAUUCAAUAUCAGAUUUACUGAUCUUACUCUAAAUAGUGAAAAGCAUUUUCUAUAAAAUUUUCAUCGCAUUUGAAUUGUUUUACACCGUUAAACUCACAAACACACCACAUCGGCCAUUAAAAUUGUCAAUUUUGAGAUCUUUUGAUCACUAGUCAAAUGAUGUUAAAAAAAUCUGAAAUUUAGUUUCCAAAUACUUUCAAUAAUGUAGAUCAAGUCUAAUGGAGCCAAUCAUUGAUUUGGAAGCCGCAUUAUCAAAAACAAUUUGGUAGCACAGAGCUCUCCAUGCUACCGAUAGUAUAGUAGCCGGACUCUAUGUAUUAUAUAUAUAUAUAUAUAUAUAUAUAUAGAGAGAGAGAGAGAGAGAGAGAGAGAGAGAGAGAGAGAGAGAGAGAGUUGGGCUAAAAUACUAUUAAUAGUAUUUGCCUCUUUGGGAGCGUUUGGUUCGCACUAUGAAAAAUUAUUAGUAGUAAAAAGAUGUUUGAGAAUUUAUUCUUAUUCAUUCUAUUACUAAAAAUGUAGUAUUUUGAUAUUUGGUUCGUACGGUCAUAUUAUUUAGUCAUGUUAUUUAAAAUUACCAAAAAUAUACAAUUAAUUAAUUAAGUAAUUUUAAAUAAUACUAUACAAAAUUUCAAACAUCUGUUUAGAAAAAAGAGAGAGAAUAUAGAUUAGAAAGAGAGAGCAUAAUUAAAGAAAUAGAAAGAGAAAUAGAGUCGAGAUUAGAGAGAACGAGAGAGUUGAGAUUUUAGAAAAAGAGGGGGAGAAAUAGCAAUUUCGAGAGAGAAAAAGAAUUGAAGUUUAACGAGAAAAAGAUAAAUUUAAAGAGAAAUAUGAGAUUAGAUUGUAAAGAAAACUAAUAUCAACUAGCCAGCGGGUGGGAAGAAAAAAUGAGAUUAGAUAUAUUAUAAUUACUCUAAUCCAUUAAUUAAUAUAAGAAUACCUACCCUCUCUGAAAGGAAUGAGAUUAGUAUUUUGGGAUGCAUCUCAUUCCCAAAUAAAUUCAGUAUUACCAACUAGAUUUCGUAGUGCGUUUAGCUAAACACCGUCAUAUUUUUUUAUUCCUAUUGGAUUACUAGAAAUCUUAAAAAGAUAGCGCGAACCAAACGCACCCUUUUUGUUAUCAAGUUUUUAGCUUUUAGAUCAAUUUCUUUGAUCAUUUCUAAUCAUUGGAUUAAAUAUUAUAACCCAGUGGGGACCACUCAAUCCUAAUAAGACCACUCAACCCUAGGGGUGCGUUUGGUUCGCACAAUGAAAGAUUACUAGGAGUAAAAAGAUUUUCGAGAAUCUUAUUCCUAUUAAUCCUAUUACUAAGAAAGUAAUAUUUCGACAUUUGGUUCGCAGGGUCAUAUUAUUUAGUCAUACUAUUUAAGAUUAGGAAAAAUAUACAAUUAGCUAAUUUAUUUUUUUAAUUAAUUUAAAUAAUACUAUAAAAAAUUUCAACAUCUUUUUAGAAAAAAAAGAGAGUAUAAUUAAAGAAAUAGGAAAAGAAAUAAAGUCGAGAUUAGAGAAAAUGAGAAGGUUAAGAUUUUAGAAAAAGAGGGGGAGAAAUAGCAUAGUUUAGAGAGAGAAAAAGAGUUGAAGUUUAGAGAGAAAAAGAUAAGUUUAGAGAGAGAUAUGAGAUUAGAGUGUAAAGAAAAAUAAUAUCAACUAGCUGGCGGGUGAGAAGAAAGAAAGAGAUUAGACAUAUUAUAAUUAGGCCAAUUUGCAUAAAAAAUCCACUUAUUUUGGGCUUUUGCAAAAUCGGGCCACCUUUUUCGUUUUUGCAGAUUCGGUCCACUUUUUCAGCAAACUGACCAAAAUACCCUUUUUACUUUUUCUCUUUCCUCUUUCUCUCUCCUCUUCGUUUCUCUCGUUCUUUUUUUUUUCUCGCCGGCAGAGCGGAGGCGGAAACGGUCCGUCUCGCCUCUCACCCUCAUUCUCUAGCCCUCGCCCUCGCCCUCGCCCUUGCCCUCGUCCACGCACCCCCCACCUUCCUCGCCUCCAACCCCGCCAAGGCCGCGCUACGACUUUUUUUUUUUUUGCUUUUUUCUUUUCUUUUCUUCUCCGACUCUUCUCCACCGUCUCUGACGACGAUGCCUCUCUCGUCCUUCUCGUCCUUCCCCGCCCUUCUCAUCUCUCCCUCUCCCUCAUUCUCUGCCGCCUCCGACGACGAUGCAUCUUCG
rnacentral:lncRNA from 1 species